rnacentral:lncRNA from 1 species
CUCUGAUGUUGAAGGAAGUAUUAGACUAGCUUGAUAUUUUCUAGGUAUUCAAGUCGUACCAGCCUUGGUUUUAUAGUUAAGUAGUAAGAACUGAAUAGUUUUAAAAUCUCACCGUUGGGUUAAAUGCAAGAACCGGGAGUUUGAGAUUGGGUUUUUAGAAUGUAAGCUGAAUGGAUAGGGUGUAUUUUGAAACUCGUUAUUCUAAAAACUAGAGGGAAGGGAUUCCCUUAAUAAAAAAAAAUAACUCAGUCUCCAGUUGAAUACAUAUGGUGAAAGUUGGUAAGUAAACAUUUUGAUUUCUUGCUUUGUUAUAGUACAGUCUUGUCAGUAAACAGAGUGUUCCGACCUGUGCUGGAGAACUCAUUUUAUGCUUAAACACAUGUAGUAUUUCACAAGUGCUACUGCUUUCCUUGUCAAAUUUGUUUUAAACAGGAUCGCUGAAGCUUUGUGAAAAUCUUUUCAUUAAGCAUGUGUUGAAAUAGAAUCUACUAUAUGAAGAAGAAAUUUCUAUGGGAAGUACUCUGAUAUAUAUAUAUCUAUAUAUCCAUUUUUUUAGAAAGUCAACAUGAACCAGCAGAAAGUUAUAUUUAGUUGCAUUAGAGUCAUAAACAGUAGUAUCCCCACAGCCCAGCAGACUCACAAAUGGUGUUCUCCGUUGUUGCUUUUGAGGAUUGUGAUGCGUCUUUAGCUGUAACAUUGCAGAUCUCCCUAGAUAAAGUGAGAAAUACACCUAGGUUCAGUUUACAUUUUUCAGUGAACAUGUGAUGUGCUCAUGUGCACGAUGCAGACUGUAACAUCCCUCUUUAUAUGUUUUUUUUUUUUUUUAUUGAUACAGUAUAGAAUGAUUACGGGUUGUCAUUCAGUGACAAAGGGGCCUGUUCCAGGAAAUCUUCCUGACCCAAAAGUCAUUCUGAAUUCUGCAAGGGACAUUUGGUGUGGACAAAAGCUACGAUAGCUGAAUUGAUGUGACCAUGAAGACUGCUUUCGUGGAAUUUGGUGUUCCAAGGAUAAUGUAUAAAACUUAACUCACAGAAAAGGAACCUUGAAAUGACCUAGGAAAACAUGUAUCAUUAAAACAAGUGUAAAAAAGAGAAAAAACUCAAAAUCUAACCUAGAUGGUUUCUACUUCGAACUGCAGGAUUUCAUAUUCAUAUGUCCUCUAAGAGGAGUAUCACGGUUUUUACUAUUUGGAAAUGAAGCUGAGUUUUUAUUUUUCUUAGGAGCUGCAGCACUACCACCUGGUGCGGCUUAAC